UACGGGGGGGGCAAGCGUUGUUCGGAAUUACUGGGCGUAAAGGGCUCGUAGGCGGCCAACUAAGUCAGACGUGAAAUCCCUCGGCUUAACCGGGGAACUGCGUCUGAUACUGGAUGGCUUGAGGUUGGGAGAGGGAUGCGGAAUUCCAGGUGUAGCGGUGAAAUGCGUAGAUAUCGGGAAGAACACCAGUGGCGAAGGCGGCCGGCUGGACGGCACCUGACGCUGAGGCGCGAAAGUGUGGGGAGCAAACGGG
rnacentral:rRNA from 1 species